GCCCGUGCGUGGACCCCCGGGGUUCGGCGCGACACCCCGGGGGGGAAAAAUGUGCCGAAUGAGGGAGAGUUUUGUCCCCACUCCCCGGCCGAGUCCCCCAGCACGGAUGGGGUCUUCCCCCUUCUGCUUGGCGAACUCUUCCUUCAAGACUUGGCACCACCCACCGUCCAGCGUAGAUGAUGUUGACACAUGUGUACUCAAAUAAAUCAACCUUCCCAUCCUAACCAUCUCCCUUGGCAGGAACAAUAAGUGGAUGUGCCAAGCCAGGACUGACCUGGACGACUCAACCCUUGAAAAAUAUAAAGGAAAUCAUUGUGUUUUCACGCUAGCAGGUACUACCUACCUAUGGGCCUCCUGCACAAAUUGCAUCUCUCAUCCUGGGCAUCCCGUGCGGACUUCCAGCUUUCAGCUGCACAGAGCUGCCCAGCGGUGAGCCACUGGCUGCCUCUCUGAGCAUGCUCCUCCCCCAUUCCUCGGCUUUGGUAAUGGCACCCCUAAAUACAGCCACCCUAGCUCCAGUUCACCCCGCCACCUGCCAAUAUACCAUCCAUGACCACAGCGUGAAAGAUUCUGCAUCCUAAAUAUCAACGGUCUGCUCCCCUGUCCAUCUCCACUGCUCUCGUCACCUCUUUUGCCUGGGAAAUUGCAGCAGCAGCCUGUCCAGCUGGUCUCCAACCUCCAAUGCUGGUCUCUAAACCAUCGGCUUUCUAAAAAGAUCAAUCUGUUCAUGUUCCUCUCCUGAUGAGAUAUCUCCUCUCUCUCCCUACUGCCUACUAGAAGAAGUUAACCCUUUAACUUUGCCUCUAAAAGCGUGAUGUGCCCCGAGGGUGCUCCAGCCACCUCUAAUCUUAUGCCCUGUAGAAACUUCACUGCACACUGUGCUCACCACCUCUGUCUUUUCUUGUCUUUGGUAUCUUCUACCUGGAGGACCUCCCUCUACUUCCAGCCCACUCCCACCCCCUUCCCCUGGAACAUUCUCGCUUAUCUUUCAAGAUCAAGCUCUAAUAUCACGGGUGAAAUCUCCCUCCCUAGUGCCCCCGGACCACAUCAGUCACUUCUGCUUCUUGGAGCACAAAGCAUGGUGUCCAUAAGUGGCUUGCAGGACACACCACCUGCCUUCUGCCGAUCUGCUUUCAUACCUCUCUCCCCCCCUGGGUGGGGAACAUAUGGAGGGCAGGCAGCAGCCCCUCAUCUCUGUGCCCACCCCUUGUACGUGACCAAAUGAAUGAGGAGAGCAUGGAAGAGAUGACUUUAGGGCCUGCUGCCACGCACUGGGGGCCAUCAGUAGGCUCAACUGCCUUGAGGGUGUUAGGGUUAAUGAGAAGGUUGUAUAUACCAAGGACAAGAGAGAAAAUUUCCACUUGACGUUUUGUCUCCCAUUGGCACACGCCCCCUCCUCCUUCUGAACGGCCAACUCAUCCUUAGCUGGCAGCCUAAAUCAAUUUGAGCCUCAAGGUUGGAUUGUUGGUGAUAAACACAUGUCUCUUGCUUCCUCUUUCUCUCUUCUUUUUUUUCUUCCAAAGUUCAGUUCUAAACCCAAUUAAAUGUUUCCUUUGACUCUGUUAGCUGUGACUUAGCUAUGCUACCCCGAUGGG